rnacentral:lncRNA from 1 species
GGCGGUGCCUCAGCCGACAGAAGGAUCUUUGCUGAUAUUGCGCUGCACUUCUUCACGAGGGCCUGACCACACCACCGAAUCCCAUCCUCCACCUGCAGAACGAAAACAAGACAAGAACUCAUGCCUCCUAAAAUAUCUUGGACAUAUUGCAGACAAACAUGUGGUGUUCAUAGUACUCGAGGAAUGGCACACCUGUUGCAGGAUCUGUUGGCCGCGCUCCCUCUCUGCUGCGUUGAACACUGGCAAGGACACCAGCGGGCCAGCAGAUGCGGCGUUCUCCUUUCUAACAGCUGGAACAUCCUUGGCAGUCAUCCCUGAUGAGCAUGCCGUGGCCUUGCGUCUCUGGAGCAGGUGCUCAAUGCUCGUCUCUGCUGGGUGCAGCUCCCUGACUGGAAGUUCAUCCUCUAGGAUGAUCACAGAAUCAGCAGCAUGCCGCUGGUUGCCCACGGCUGAGCUGGUGCUGAAGAAGGAGAUGAGCAGCGGUGGAAGCUCUGCAGGCCUGCAGUGGCUUGUAGCAAGAAUGAGCACUGGGUUCGAUGGCG